rnacentral:tRNA from 1 species
AAGUAAGAAGCGAACCUUUGCAUUCAGUUUCGACCUGACUUUUGAUAAAAUUUUAUCCUUACUUA